rnacentral:rRNA from 1 species
CAGCCGCCGCGGGAAUACGAAGGGGGCUAGCGUUACUCGGAAUUACUGGGCGUAAAGCGUGCGUAGGUGGUGGUUUAAGUCCGUUGUGAAAGCCCUGGGCUCAACCUGGGAAUUGCAGUGGAUACUGGGUCACUAGAGUGUGGUAGAGGAUAGUGGAAUUUCCGGUGUAGCAGUGAAAUGCGUAGAGAUCGGAAGGAACAUCUGUGGCGAAGGCGACUAUCUGGGCCAACACUGACACUGAGGCACGAAAGCGUGGGGAGCAAACAGGAUUAGAUACCCCUGUACCCUGUCUCUUAUACAC